rnacentral:snRNA from 1 species
AGCUUUGCGCAGUGGCAGUAUCGUAGCCAAUGAGGCUUAUCAGAGGCGCGAUUAUUGCUAAAUAAAACCAAAGUAAUUGAAACAUAGAGUAUAGGAGAAAGAAUAGAUGGAUAAAUUUAUAGAGCAAAAUA